UAGUAUUCAAUUGUCAGAGGUGAAAUUCUUGGAUUUAUUGAAGACUAACUACUGCGAAAGCAUUUGCCACGGAUGUUUUCAUUAAUCAAGAACGAAAGUUAGGGGAUCGAGGACGAUCAGAUACCGUCGUAGUCUUAACCAUAAACUAUGCCGNCUAGGGAAGNGGAAG
rnacentral:rRNA from 1 species